rnacentral:rRNA from 1 species
GACGAACGCUGGCGGCGUGCUUAACACAUGCAAGUCGAACGAAGUGGCGAACGGGUGAGUAACGCGUAAUCAACCUGCCCUUCAGAGGGGGACAACAGUUGGAAACGACUGCUAAUACCGCAUACUGAAGGAGGGGAUUUCGUCUGAUUAGCUAGUGGGAGGGGUAAAGGCCCACCAAGGCGAUGAUCAGUAGCCUGGCUGAGAGGAUGAGCGGCCAAAUUGGAACUGAGACACGGCCCAGACUCCUACGGGAGGCAGCAGUGGGGAAGCUUCCGCAAUGGACGAAAGUCUUACGGAGCAACGCCGCGUGAGUGAUGAAGGCCUUCGAGUUGUAAAGCUCUGUUAAUCGGGACGCGGUACCGGAAUAGAAAGCAACGGCGAACUACGUGCCAGCAGCCGCGGUAAAC